rnacentral:rRNA from 1 species
UGCAAGUCGAGCGAACAGACGAGGAGCUUGCUCCUUUGACGUUAGCGGCGGACGGGUGAGUAACACGUAGGUAACCUACCUAUAAGACUGGGAUAACUUCGGGAAACCGGAGCUAAUACCGGAUAAUAUUUCGAACCGCAUGGUUCGAUAGUGAAAGAUGGCUUUGCUAUCACUUAUAGAUGGACCUGCGCCGUAUUAGCUAGUUGGUAAGGUAACGGCUUACCAAGGCAACGAUACGUAGCCGACCUGAGAGGGUGAUCGGCCACACUGGAACUGAGACACGGUCCAGACUCCUACGGGAGGCAGCAGUAGGGAAUCUUCCGCAAUGGGCGAAAGCCUGACGGAGCAACGCCGCGUGAGUGAUGAAGGUCUUCGGAUCGUAAAACUCUGUUAUUAGGGAAGAACAAACGUGUAAGUAACUGUGCACGUCUUGACGGUACCUAAUCAGAAAGCCACGGCUAACUACGUGCCAGCAGCCGCGGUAAUACGUAGGUGGCAAGCGUUAUCCGGAAUUAUUGGGCGUAAAGCGCGCGUAGGCGGUUUUUUAAGUCUGAUGUGAAAGCCCACGGCUCAACCGUGGAGGGUCAUUGGAAACUGGAAAACUUGAGUGCAGAANAGGAAAGUGGAAUUCCAUGUGUAGCGGUGAAAUGCGCAGAGAUAUGGAGGACACCAGUGGCGAAGCGACUUUCUGGUCUGUAACUGACGCUGAUGUGCGAAAGCGUGGGGAUCAAACAG